rnacentral:rRNA from 1 species
GAUGAACGCUGGCGGCGUGCCUAAUACACGCAAGUCGAGCGAACAGACGAGGAGCUUGCUCCUCUGACGUUAGUGGCGGACGGGUGAGUAACACGUGGAUAACCUACCUAUAAGACUGGGAUAACUUCGGGAAACCGGAGCUAAUACCGGAUAAUAUAUUGAACCGCAUGGUUCAAUAGUGAAAGACGGUUUUGCUGUCACUUAUAGAUGGAUCCGCGCCGCAUUAGCUAGUUGGUAAGGUAACGGCUUACCAAGGCAACGAUGCGUAGCCGACCUGAGAGGGUGAUCGGCCACACUGGAACUGAGACACGGUCCAGACUCCUACGGGAGGCAGCAGUAGGGAAUCUUCCGCAAUGGGCGAAAGCCUGACGGAGCAACGCCGCGUGAGUGAUGAAGGUCUUCGGAUCGUAAAACUCUGUUAUUAGGGAAGAACAAAUGUGUAAGUAACUAUGCACGUCUUGACGGUACCUAAUCAGAAAGCCACGGCUAACUACGUG